rnacentral:rRNA from 1 species
GCGUAAUAAAUCGCCCUUUAAUUGUGGGCCUGUAUGAACGGACAAACGAAAGAAAACCUGUCUCUUAUAGUAAAAAUAAAAAUUAGUCUUCAGGUGAAGAAACCUGAAUAAAAUUAAAGGACAAAAAGACCCUGUAGAGCUUAGUUUUUCUUUAAACUAACCCUUAUUUCAACUUAAAUUAUUUAUACUUAAAACCUUAUUUUAAAUAAAACUUAGCUGGGGCGGCUAAGGAAACAAAUCUUCCAUUUUUAACUUACGGCCAUACACCUAUCAAUAAUUGACCCUUAUUAGAUCAAAAAAUAAAGCUACCUCAGGGAUAACAGAUUAAUCCUUCUCGAGAGUUCACAUUGACAGAAGGGCUUGACACCUCGAUGUUGGCUUAAAGAUACCCAAUAAAUCUGCAGCAGUUUAUAAAGGUAGGUUUGUUCAACCUUUAAAA